rnacentral:rRNA from 1 species
CGCUGGCGGCAGGCCUAACACAUGCAAGUCGAACGGUAACAGGAAGCAGCUUGCUGCUUUGCUGACGAGUGGCGGACGGGUGAGUAAUGUCUGGGAAACUGCCUGAUGGAGGGGGAUAACUACUGGAAACGGUAGCUAAUACCGCAUAACGUCGCAAGACCAAAGAGGGGGACCUUAGGGCCUCUUGCCAUCGGAUGUGCCCAGAUGGGAUUAGCUAGUAGGUGGGGUAACGGCUCACCUAGGCGACGAUCCCUAGCUGGUCUGAGAGGAUGACCAGCCACACUGGAACUGAGACACGGUCCAGACUCCUACGGGAGGCAGCAGUGGGGAAUAUUGCACAAUGGGCGCAAGCCUGAUGCAGCCAUGCCGCGUGUAUGAAGAAGGCCUUCGGGUUGUAAAGUACUUUCAGCGGGGAGGAAGGGAGUAAAGUUAAUACCUUUGCUCAUUGACGUUACCCGCAGAAGAAGCACCGGCUAACUCCGUGCCAGCAGCCGCGGUAAUACGGAGGGUGCAAGCGUUAAUCGGAAUUACUGGGCGUAAAGCGCACGCAGGCGGUUUGUUAAGUCAGAUGUGAAAUCCCCGGGCUCAACCUGGGAACUGCAUCUGAUACUGGCAAGCUUGAGUCUCGUAGAGGGGGGUAGAAUUCCACGUGUAGCGGUGAAAUGCGUAAAGAUCUGGAGGAAUACCGGUGGCGAAGGCGGCCCCCCUGGACGAAGACUGACGCUCAGGUGCGAAAGCGUGGGGAGCAAACAGGAUUAGAUACCCUGGUAGUCCACGCCGUAAACGAUGUCGACUUGGAGGUUGUGCCCUUGAGGCGUGGCUUCCGGAGCUAACGCGUUAAGUCGACCGCCUGGGGAGUACGGCCGCAAGGUUAAAACUCAAAUGAAUUGACGGGGGCCCGCACAAGCGGUGGAGCAUGUGGUUUAAUUCGAUGCAACGCGAAGAACCUUACCUGGUCUUGACAUCCACGGAAGUUUUCAGAGAUGAGAAUGUGCCUUCGGGAACCGUGAGACAGGUGCUGCAUGGCUGUCGUCAGCUCGUGUUGUGAAAUGUUGGGUUAAGUCCCGCAACGAGCGCAACCCUUAUCCUUUGUUGCCAGCGGUCCGGCCGGGAACUCAAAGGAGACUGCCAGUGAUAAACUGGAGGAAGGUGGGGAUGACGUCAAGUCAUCAUGGCCCUUACGACCAGGGCUACACACGUGCUACAAUGGCGCAUACAAAGAGAAGCGACCUCGCGAGAGCAAGCGGACCUCAUAAAGUGCGUCGUAGUCCGGAUUGGAGUCUGCAACUCGACUCCAUGAAGUCGGAAUCGCUAGUAAUCGUGGAUCAGAAUGCCACGGUGAAUACGUUCCCGGGCCUUGUACACACCGCCCGUCACACCAUGGGAGUGGGUUGCAAAAGAAGUAGGUAGCUUAACCUUCGGGAGGGCGCUUACCACUUUGUGAA